rnacentral:rRNA from 1 species
GACAGAGGAUGCAAGCGUUAUCCGGAAUGAUUGGGCGUAAAGCGUCUGUAGGUGGCUUUUCAAGUCCGCCGUCAAAUCCCAGGGCUCAACCCUGGACAGGCGGUGGAAACUGCCAAGCUGGAGUACGGUAGGGGGUAAUGGAAUUCCCGGUGUAGUGGUGGAAUGCGUAGAUAUCGGGAGGAACACCAGUGGCGAAGGCGGUUACCUGGAGCUUUGCUGACGCUGAUGCGCGAAAGCGUGGGGAGCGAUCCGG